CCGAAAAACCCACCCGGCACCAAACGCGGCUCAUCUCGAUCCCCUCGAGAGUAAACGCCGCCGCCGUCCUCUUCCUGACGCAACUGCAGGUCACAGCGCCGCCGCCAACGUCCGAGAGUAGCCGCCGCGCCUGAGGACCGAGAGGAGCCGCCACCGAGAUCUGAGACUAGCCGCUGCAGCUGAGGACCGAGAGGAGCCGCCGCCUCCAGGUUGCGACUGUGACACACCGCCGCCUCCAGGUCGCCGCCGAGGUCCGCAAUCGCCGAAGCCGGCCGGCCCUCACCUCCAUCGACCUCCUCUCGGAUGGAUCCUGCACGUCGCUAGAUCGACGGAAGGGGACCUCCACCACCGCUGUUCUUCUCCCUCCCCGACCUCCCGUCACCGUGCUCCCGGGAUCUGGCCGUGGCCACAACCGGCGGAGCUUCCCGGCCACCGCCGACGACGCCAGCGAGGUAGCCACAGUCGUUGCUGCCAGAUCCAUGGAGGAGUGUACCCCGGCCUUCUCCUCAUUUUCCUCUUGUUGUAUGCCUUUAUUCAUAUUGCUAUGCGUUAUCACUAACACAUUGGCAAUGCAACACCUUCCGGAGAUAGCAUUGACGGUAGUACACAUGUUUUGUACUGUAAGCCAUUGCAUUUACCUAUAGGAAUAUGUUUUCGGUACAUGUUCGGAAUAUCUGCUACUAGGUGCAUACAAGAUGAAUCUUCAAGACAUGCUAUCUUGCUUCGUAAGUACUGCUAUUUAAGGUGAGCCUUGCAGAACUAUCUUUUAAUGUCUCCAGUUUAUCCUAAAGUAUUUUAGCCUAAAUUUCCUGUCAUUUAGAUAGAUGUGGGUUAUGCUAAUCUGACUGGUAAGUUAUGGUAUUGUAGCUACUGCACAUGUCCCUCAAUUUCCCACUUCCAUGUGUCAGGAUGCUAAUAUGGGUGUUACUAUAUUGCCUUCCAGUUUAUCCUAAAGUAUUUUAGCCUAAAUUUCUUGUCAUUUAGAUAGAUGUGGGUUAUGCUAAUUUGACUGGUGGGUUAUGCUAAUCUGACUGGUAAGUAUGGUAUUGUAGCUACUGUACAUGUCCCUCAAUUUCCCAGUUCCAUGUGUCAGGAUGCUAAUAUGGGUGUUACUAUAUUGCCUUCCAUUUUGUAAUAUGUUAUGUUUGCAAUUUCUCAGGGCCGCCGCUGCCGCCGUCCGUAGCAACGCAUAGGCCGCUUGCCCAGCUCCCUCAUUCCGAGCACGACACCACGCGUCGGAGCUUGUCGGGAGGCACGGAAGGACGAACAGAGUUCUACCGGUGAUCCGUGUUGUCGCUGACGGUGUCAUAGGAUCUGCGGUGCACGUGGACAAGGCGAUGGGGCUGCCAACCUACCUCCUCUUCACCACAGCGCAUGUGGAUUCUUGGGCUACCUCAACUUGGAUCAGCUUUUUCAAGAGGGGAUGCUUGCCAUUCAGAGUGUUCAGAAUAAUACUUUGCAAGGGACAGGAGCGCGAUGUCAAGCAGCAGCAGCAGCAGGUUCUGCAGCUGACGACCCUGGUGAGUCCACGGUCGUGCUCAACUCCCGCCAGCAGGGCGCGAAGGAGUUUCCCCUUGAACCCCAUGACCUGAUUCUCAGUGAUGAUUUUUGCAGAACCACAUGCCGAUGGUCCACUUGCCUUUGGAAUUAAAGAUCAGCUUACUACACUAACCAGAUAUCAUAUAUAAAUACUCUACUCUACAGCAGUAUGAAGGGGGCUAGCAAAUAUGUUAAAGAUAGAUACAGAGAAAGGCGAUUAGGGGAGUGGAUUCCGAUAAUGAUGCGAAAAAAAUUCCUUUGGGUCGAACACAUACUCUUGAAAGAAAGCAAGAAGCUUCUUGGUAAUGGAGAUGGUUCUCUUAUAUUUGGUAGGAGUCAGAAAAAAUCCAGCAUGGAAAAACACCACAUUCAACACGGUGUAAUUAUGAUGAUCUAAACGAGUAUUCCUGGACUUCUGAUUGUUUCUCACUGCCAUGACCAAUACGGGAUGAUGGUGGCUUCUUCAAAUAUGUGCAAGAUAUGUCCUCUUUAGCAUCACUGGAUUUUUGAAAACGUUAUAUCUGAAUUUAGAGUGCACUUCUGCAAAAAAGAUUUUGUCCUGAUUACUAUUUCGAUUUUAUUUCUGUAGGCACUGUGAAAUGAUCGAAUGCCGCUAAUCAUUUUGGAGGUUUGUUGUAGGGUGCUCUACCAGGUAUUUUGUUCAGAUAUGCUCUUUCUCUGCCUGCCAUUUUAGCCAUCAGUUGAGAAUUAUAUUCAGGUUAGCAAACAAGUUUCUUGAUACUUAUAAGGCGAACAUACUUAUAAGGUGAACAUACAAAAGAAAUAAAAUCUUGAUGACUUGUGAGCUUUGCCUAUUAACUUAAAAUUAACGCUGACAAGUUUCAUGUUCUGUACCAUGGUAAGUCAUGAGUCUGCUGUCUUGAUACAAGGAAAUAAGGAAAUAUUAGUUUUCUGCUUAUUCGUUCAUAUCUUAUUACUGAAAGGAUUGCCAGUGUAUUAGUAAUUCAAGUUUCACCUUUCGCAGUGUAGUCUGGAAUAUUUGUAAUUAGCAAGAUGAACUCCUAUCAACUACUCCCAAGGUUUUCUGAAACUGUACGAACAUUUGCUAACAGAAACUUAAGUUAGCAAGUUUGCAUAGCUGCUUAGCUACCAAGUUGCUCUGCAGUUAAUAACUUAAUAUACACCUAUGUUAAAUACAUAUACUUGUUGAAAGGUUUUUGUGUACUGCUCCUUGUCCUUUAUGUGACAUUUACUUUCGUAGUCAGUCAUAAAUGGAUCCAGGUAGAUGUAUGGAUAUCUAUAUGGUGGAUGAUCCGUGUCAUUCUUUUACAGGUCAUAAUAUGCACCCACACAAUUCAAGUUCAUAUUCUGGAAGGACAUUGACCAACGAACCUUGUAGUAAUGUUACAGGUCAUAAAAUUGUGUAUUCCUACUAACCAUCAUUGCAUGUGUGCAGUGGUUAGAGAUUUUGUAGUGGAUAAUCAAUUAUCUUUAUCUGCUUCUAACUCAAGGAAUCAUACUGCAACAUUUCCUCCAGUGCAGGCAAACUCGAAUGAUAGUUAGUAAACUUGGUUAGUAAUAUUUUUUGUUUUCUUACCUUGCAUUUGUGAUACGUCACUGAACAUGUUUAUUAGUUUGUCACGUCACUCCUGCUUGACAUGCCAAUUCACAAAGGGCAGCCCGGUGCACAUCGCUCCCGCUUGCGCAGGGUCCGGGGAACGGUCCGACCACUUGACAUGCCAAUUCACAAAAAUGAAAGAAAUCCAGAUGACCUGUGAACCUCCCUGUUGACAUAAAAUUAAUGUUGUUUUAUGUCUAAGCCUCAUCUAUUAUAUACAUGUACAGUUACGGUGGUGGAUUUCAAUUCCUGUAACUUAGUUUUCUUACGAGAUGUAACUCAUCUACUAAUAUAUAGUAGUAUGUAUAAAGUUUCUUAAUCAAGCCAGCCUAAUGGACGGCACCAUACUUAGCCAAGCUAAUAGACGGCCCAUGCCCAGUACGAUUUUUUCAACUGCUGUAUAAUGGUAUUAUGAUUUCGUGCUCUUUUUCAGAAAAUCUGGGUGAUGAAGCUGACUCAAUAGAUCCAGAUUUUGGCCGCUAAAGCUGGUAGUGCAUCCUUGUCUAUGGUGUGGACAGAGGGAGAAAGGAGGCAAUUAACUACAGUCUGAAUGUAAAAUAAAAUCGUCUGAAUUAAAAUAGAAUCUGAUAAAACAAAACAAAGGAGGUCAUUAACUAGAGAAUUAGGCUGGACUAGAUAUACAUAUUAUACUGUAUUUUCCCACUAAAAACAUCCAGCGGGGAGGCUGAUGCAGCACUAUCACGAAUUGUUCCAGCUCUUCCUGAAUCGAUAUGGUUUGUCGAUGUUGGGAUCCUCGACGGUGAUUAGCAACUGAAUCGUGGAUGGAAGUACACUUUACUUCAAAGGAUUGCACACAUAUGAAGCGGUUAUUGAUGAAGUCAUGGAAAAGGGACUUGCCAAUGCUACACAGUCAUGAAAUCUUUGUCUGUUUCACUCUUCUUCCAUACAUGAUAUGCAAGGUUCUUGGGAUGCUCGGUACUGUUGCCAGGAGGUACGAAAUGGUUUGAUCUGUCAAGCAUGGAUUGCUGAAGCACAAAAUACAAGGGGGUGCAUGAGGAGGCGAGAGCUGACGGCAACCAUUGGAGGAGGUCUGGUCGGUCGAAGAGUAAGGCGUGGGCAACUCCGGAGAGAUUUGGCUUGAGCAAAUGUCGAUGCUGCUGCAAUGAGAAGACCCUUUCUGUGAGCCCUAUCCCUCUCAUUUAGCGUCUCGAUUUUGGGUUCUUCUGCUCCCUGUUUCUCUGUUCAUUUGUGGUGAUGGAUAGAAAGCAUCCAUACUUCCAUAGGCAGAAGCUUGCACUUACCAAAUAGGCAUGUAAUUCAGGCAAUAGCUGAGCUCCCAGCCUCCUAAGACUGGCAUGGGCACAUCAAUAAGGGAAUGGAGCCCGUCAAAGAGGAGGUCGGAGCGGCGUUGGACCUGGAUCAACUCAUCUAAAUCAAGCGGCCGGCCUCGGCUGGGAGUCACCAACGCUCCACCUGGACGGCGUCGGCUGAGACAGCUCCACAUGCAAUGGCUGGCCGGGGACCAGACCUCGACAGGAACGUGUUGCCCUUUGAGCCGGUGCAGAGCGACAAGUUCGUAGCAUUGUUAUAGUUUUUUGCACAAAGAUAGACCCUGUAGUACUGAUCAGGUGAAACAGAUCGAUGUGGCACUGGUACUGAACUGAAGCAACAAUUUGUUCAACAAAAUAUGAUCCAAAUAGAGCGCAUAUUAGUUUCUAUAA